rnacentral:rRNA from 1 species
UACAGAGGGUGCGAGCGUUGUCCGGAAUCACUGGGCGUAAAGGGCGCGUAGGCGGCUUGAUAAGCGUGCGGUGAAAGCCCGGGGCUCAACCCCCGGGUCGGCCGUGCGAACUGUCGAGCUGGAGCACUGUAGAGGCAGGUGGAAUUCCGGGUGUAGCGGUGGAAUGCGUAGAGAUCCGGAAGAACACCGGUGGCGAAGGCGGCCUGCUGGGCAGUGGCUGACGCUGAGGAGCGAAAGCGUGGGUAGCAAACAGG